AAGACUAUGACGUUGAUAGGUCGGGUGUGUAAGCGCAGCGAUGCGUUGAGCUAACCGAUACUAAUGAACCGUGAGGCUUAACCUU
rnacentral:rRNA from 4 species